rnacentral:rRNA from 1 species
UACGAAGGGGGCUAGCGCUGCUCGGAAUGACUGGGCGUAAAGGGCGCGUAGGCGGCCUUCUAAGUCGAACGUGAAAUCCCCGGGCUCAACCCGGGAACUGCGUCCGAUACUGGCAGGCUUGAAUUCGGGAGAGGGAUGCGGAAUUCCAGGUGUAGCGGUGAAAUGCGUAGAUAUCUGGAGGAACACCGGUGGCGAAGGCGGCAUCCUGGACCGAGAUUGACGCUGAUGCGCGAAAGCCAGGGGAGCAAACGGG